rnacentral:rRNA from 1 species
UACGGAGGUGGCAAGCGUUGUUCGGAAUUACUGGGCGUAAAGGGCGCGUAGGCGGCAUGGCAAGUCAGAUGUGAAAGCCCCGGGCUUAACCUGGGAAUUGCAUCUGAAACUGUUGUGCUUGAGUUCUGGAGGGGGUAGUGGAAUUCCCAGUGUAGCGGUGAAAUGCGUAGAUAUUGGGAGGAACACCUGCGGCGAAGGCGGCUACCUGGACAGAUACUGACGCUGAGGCGCGAAAGCUAGGGGAGCAAACGGGAUUAGAUACCCCCGUAGU